rnacentral:sRNA from 1 species
AGAGAAGAAGAGGAAGAAGAAGAAA